UUUACGUUUUGAAACGUCAAAAAAAAAUGCGAAAUAACAUUUGGAAUCACAAGAAGCGGUACUUUGGUUUUUUCCCUGCCAUCCCGGGUGUAAUCAGGCAUAAAUCUUCUCGGAUCAAAUCAUCUCGGAAGUUAAUCCCAGCCCGCGUAUCAAUGAGCCCGGUCUGUAGGGUUCCAGGUUUGAUAGCUGGCUCUUUCUGGAAUCGUGAGAUACAAACCUGCUGAAAAUUAACGGUCCUGCAUUAGUCUAGAAGACGGCGGUUUCAAUAGAGGCCACAACGCGAGCAUCUUCACAGGCCGGAAGAGCCUGCCCCGAUGGAGAGGGUAAAACCAAGAAAACAAGCUCCAGGGUACUGACAACGCGAUGGACAUCGUCUCGUAACUGGACAGUUCGGCGUUGGUGAUGUGUUCCGCCGGUCGAUAAAACUGCAGCAAAAGUACGACAAGGAAUGCGUUUUUUCAACUCGCCGCUGUGUGGACAAGGAUUUGUCGGGUUUGCGACCAGCCACUACCGGAGCGGCUGGAAUACAUUUUGCGAACAAUAUCUUCCCGGAGAUUGAUCAUAUUCUGGAUGUACCGAUACAGGAGCGAAAAUAUCUUCGAAUGUGAAACGUUACGGGCUUCUUGCGGAGUGGUGGAUGGUAGGACUUACUGGCAGAGUCCCGAGGCAUACUGUGCGCAUACGCCUGAGUUGAAAGUGGUGGUACCACGAGCACCGAAACGAAGCCAACGGACGCUAGAUGAUCUGCGAGUUGUCAACGACAUGACCCUGAUCAGGUGGGAAUCGUAGUUCGAUGGGGACACCCCUUUCCAUACGUGUUCGAACCGUUCUACAUCCCGGAUAAAUUACGGUGCCUGGCCUGGAUCAAAAAGCUGUUCGAUUGUUGAGAAGAGCUUGGUCUACAAAUGUUGAUGGCAAUUUGGCAUCCAGUUUGUUACGCGUAAGCUAUAGAGGUGAUCGGGGCAAUAUGAGCCACCUACGAAAACUUCAAGGAUUGCAUGGAAAAACUGGAUAAACUAAUGUAAAACUAAGAAAUGCGCCAACGAUCAGUGCCGGAUUUAGGCUUCGUGGGGCCCGGGUCAAAUCCUUAGACGGGGUCCUUAGUACAAAAUGAGCCCGAUACAGGAAAGUGUAGUAUUGCGACAAUAAAAUAGCCGGAAAACUCCAGAAAAAUAUUAUAUUUCUCGAAUUUUCACUAUACUAUACUCACAUCGUGAAUAUUGCGUAAAAUAAAGCACCGUAUAAAAUACUUGAAAGUUCGCACAUAAUGAAGAUGAGAUAAUAUUUUGACUGAAUCGUUCUCAAAACAAAUCCAAAAUGAAAAAUGUUUUAGUUGAAAUCAAGACUAGAUGGUUCAUAGAGAUUUAAAUAACAAUAGCCAAGAUUAUAUAAAUGUGUUUUUAUUAUUUCAUAUUUAAUUUAUUUUUUUAUUGAACUUGAAUGACAGUCGUUAUUAAUCAACUAUUAUAUUUGUUGCGCAGAUUUUUUUUUUUU